rnacentral:rRNA from 1 species
UACGUAGGGGGCGAGCGUUGUCCGGAAUUAUUGGGCGUAAAGCGCGCGCAGGCGGUCUUGUAAGUCCCGUUGUGUAAGACCGGGGCUCAACCCCGGGUUGCAAGGGAAACUGCAGGACUUGAGUGCGGGAGAGGGAAGCGGAAUUCCAUGUGUAGCGGUGAAAUGCGUAGAGAUAUGGAGGAACACCAGUGGCGAAGGCGGCUUCCUGGUCCGUAACUGACGCUGAGGCGCGAAAGCGUGGGGAGCAAAC